CUACAAUAUGAUCAUUUUAGGAAUGUUAAAAAGAUUUAUUUACUAUUUACACUUAUUCAAAUACAUACAUACAUAUACAAAAAUUUAUUUAUGCACGCUGGCCUCAACAACUAUAAGAGCGGAUUUCCAUGAGGGGCGUGAUUUUAGAAAGGUCUAGAAAGAAAGAUAAACCUUACUAGAUUGACAAAAACAAAGAAAGAAGAAUUACUAUAUAGGCAACAGGACGAGCCAAUUUUAAGUGCUUGCCUGGUUAACAGUUCUUUGAAGAGAACGUCUUAAAGAUUCCGCUACUUUUACCUCAUACGGUAGAUUAUUCCAUAUACUACCGCUCCGUUAUAUUUGAAGCAUCUUUUACCGAAAUCGGUAUUCGGUUUAGGAAGAGAUAAAUCGGUUUCUUUAUUUCUAAGAUCAUAGGUAUCACAUUCAUUCAAUCGAAAGGAUGUUGUUAGAUUUAGAGCAUGCAGUGUGGUUAUUCAGAAUUUUAUAUGAGUCAUCAACACAGGCAGUCAGGUUGUGGUCUUUUGUGAUAAACACUUGCCCGCGCGUGUUUUGUUCUAGAUUUUUCGAUAUUUUUCAGUGUUUUCGAUAUUUUCGGUAUUCGAGAUAUCGAAUAUCGAUAUUUUUUUAAAUUUCGAUAUUUAUCGACUAUAUCGAUAUAUAUACCGUCGCACGCAUGUCUCGAAAUGUACGCUUUCAUGCCAUUCUGGAUUAGCAUACGAAAAAUGCAACCAAGCAAUACAGACACUCUCAACUUAUUUGAUAUCCUUUGUAGGACGAACAGAACAUAUGUGUCAUUAUACGCCGCCAUAUGUAAAUUUGAAAGACCCAGAUACCUCUUGCGGACAGAAUGUAUAGCAUUUCUCCUAACCGAAGCGAAAUUUCCCUUCAUAUGCCAUUUUUGACCGAUAUCCAAGCAAUAUAUUAUAUCAUUUUUCAAGCUUCCAAGUGUUUUCGCCUUGCCGAAAUUGCCCGAUAACUGCGCGUCAUCUUGCCAGGCAAAAACUUCAGUUUAAUAUAAAGGAAAGUCCGUUUACUCCUUGAAGAAUUCAUGUCUGGUAGAUAUUUAUGUUAUAGUAUAAUUUUAUUCGAAAUAAUACACAUAUGUCAUAUUAUGGAUAAUUUUCACAUUAUAGUCAAUAUAGUAUUGAGUACAUUAUCAGUUUUGUUUUUUUAGUAAUAUUGAUAUGCAUUAUACUGCAUAAGUUGCUAAUCACAAAUGUUCUGCGCGCGGCCUCCAGGGAAAACCUGACACUGAGCUAGAAAUGUCUAAAUUGUUUUAUUUCGUUCCUUUAAUGUUAAUGAGAAUGGCAUUGAAUAUUUUGUCGAUUGCUUUUACCGUUAUACUGCAGUUAUAUUAUGAAAAUCAACCGCUGCCCUUUUCAGAUUUGGAAUCUGAAAAUGAAGUCAUGAAUCUGAAAGUGAAAUAGUUUGCUCUGUUCGUUAUAAAUAUGCUUCGGUCGGUAGCGAUCAAAUCCAUUGGACAUCGACACAGGUUUCCGAGUGUCCUGAAAGAAAAAAAAAUUGAAUCAACAACGAAUGGUUGAUAAGGUUU
rnacentral:lncRNA from 1 species